rnacentral:rRNA from 1 species
UACGUAGGGUGCAAGCGUUGUCCGGAAUUAUUGGGCGUAAAGAGCUCGUAGGCGGUCUGUCGCGUCGGCUGUGAAAUCUCGGGGCUCAACCCCGAGCCUGCAGUCGAUACGGGCAGACUAGAGUGCUGUAGGGGAGACUGGAAUUCCUGGUGUAGCGGUGAAAUGCGCAGAUAUCAGGAGGAACACCGGUGGCGAAGGCGGGUCUCUGG